AGAUUAUUUGCAAAAUGUAUUGUUUCGUAAAUGCUUCUUAAUUUAAACAUGGUUUGCAAAUGCUUGGAUCAAGGUACAUGUAUACAUGCUUUGCACAUUCUAUAGACUUCCAUAAUGUACAAUAUAUAUUUACUAGUCCUGCUUUCUCCAAACUGUCCACUCAGGCAACGAUAUACGGUACAACAUGGGCUGUCAGAGCAAUCAGCAUCUGCAUGUAUUGACGAUCUCCAACUGGACUGUGCUCGAUUGAACUCCAUUUUUAACGUGUGCUGAUGUUCAUCAUGCCAAAGAGACUUGUCCUAGGUUUUGUGGAUUGUGCCUGCUAGUUGAUGGAAACUGGGCAUACUGGAGUAUCUGGUCAAACUGCAGUGGGACAUGUGAAAAUGGGAUACACACACGCACACGCACGUGCACCAACCCGACCCCUAGCAACGGCGGACUCAACUGCAGUGGGCCAAACGUGGACUCCAAAAUAUGUGCAAACCAGGGUUUGUCUGAUAUCUUUGGUUCAUAUCCAUAUUCAGCUAUAUAGUAUACUGCAUGAAUAUAGUUUUAAACAUAUCCUUAAUUAAAAAACAUAAGUUUGAACUGUGCUAUGAUUACACUCUAACACUUAACCUUCAGGUCCGUGAAGAUGGCUCGGUAUUUUGUAUUGUGAAUACACUUACGAAUCAGGGUCAAAUAAUUAGA